rnacentral:rRNA from 1 species
UCUGGUGGUUUAACGCCAUGGAUCUACCUCUUCCCAUUCCGAACAGAGUCGUAAAACGUGGUAGUGGCGAUGAUACUGUCCCCCUUGCGGGGGCGGGAAAGUAGCUAACCGCCAGUU